UACGAAGGGGGCUAGCGUUGCUCGGAAUCACUGGGCGUAAAGCGCACGUAGGCGGAUUGCUAAGUCAGGGGUGAAAUCCUGGAGCUCAACUCCAGAACUGCCUUUGAUACUGGCGACCUUUGAGUCCGGGGAGAGGUGAGUGGAACUGCGAGUGUAGAGGUGAAAUUCGUAGAUAUUCGCAAGAACACCAGUGGCGAAGGCGGCUCACUGGCCCGGUACUGACGCUGAGGUGCGAAAAGCGUGGGGGAGCAAACAGG
rnacentral:rRNA from 1 species